rnacentral:rRNA from 1 species
AGUGAACGCUGGCGGUAGGCCUAACACAUGCAAGUCGAACGGCAGCACAGUAAGAGCUUGCUCUUACGGGUGGCGAGUGGCGGACGGGUGAGGAAUACAUCGGAAUCUACUUUUUCGUGGGGGAUAACGUAGGGAAGCUUGCGCUAAUACCGCAUACGACCUACGGGUGAAAGCAGGGGAUCUUCGGACCUUGCGCGAUUGAAUGAGCCGAUGUCGGAUUAGCUAGUUGGCGGGGUAAAGGCCCACCAAGGCGACGAUCCGUAGCUGGUCUGAGAGGAUGAUCAGCCACACUGGAACUGAGACACGGUCCAGACUCCUACGGGAGGCAGCAGUGGGGAAUAUUGGACAAUGGGCGCAAGCCUGAUCCAGCCAUACCGCGUGGGUGAAGAAGGCCUUCGGGUUGUAAAGCCCUUUUGUUGGGAAAGAAAAGCAGCAGGUUAAUACCCCGCUGUUCUGACGGUACCCAAAGAAUAAGCACCGGCUAACUUCGUG